rnacentral:rRNA from 1 species
AGUGAACGCUGGCGGUAGGCCUAACACAUGCAAGUCGAACGGCAGCACAGGAGAGCUUGCUCUCUGGGUGGCGAGUGGCGGACGGGUGAGGAAUACAUCGGAAUCUACUCUGUCGUGGGGGAUAACGUAGGGAAGCUUACGCUAAUACCGCAUACGACCUACGGGUGAAAGCAGGGGAUCUUCCGACCUUGCGCGAUUGAAUGAGCCGAUGUCGGAUUAGCUAGUUGGCGGGGUAAAGGCCCACCAAGGCGACGAUCCGUAGCUGGUCUGAGAGGAUGAUCAGCCACACUGGAACUGAGACACGGUCCAGACUCCUACGGGAGGCAGCAGUGGGGAAUAUUGGACAAUGGGCGCAAGCCUGAUCCAGCCAUACCGCGUGGGUGAAGAAGGCCUUCGGGUUGUAAAGCCCUUUUGUUGGGAAAGAAAUCCAGCUGGCUAAUACCCGGUUGGGAUGACGGUACCCAAAGAAUAAGCACCGGCUAACUUCGUGCCAGCAGCCGCCGUAA